UCGGGAAUAUUGCGCAAUGGAGGAAACUCUGACGCAGUGACGCCGCGUAUAGGAAGAAGGUUUUCGGAUUGUAAACUAUUGUCGUUAGGGAAGAAAAAAGACAGUACCUAAGGAGGAAGCUCCGGCUAACUACGUGCCAGCAGCCGCGGUAAUACGUAGGGAGCAAGCGUUAUCCGGAUUUAUUGGGUGUAAAGGGUGCGUAGACGGGCGAUCAAGUUAGUUGUGAAAUCCCUCGGCUCAACUGAGGAACUGCAACUAAAACUGGUUGUCUUGAGUGCAGGAGAGGUAAGUGGAAUUCCUAGUGUAGCGGUGAAAUGCGUAGAUAUUAGGAGGAACACCAGUGGCGAAGGCGACUUACUGGACUGUAACUGACGUUGAGGCACGAAAGUGUGGGGGAGAACAGGAUUAGAUACC
rnacentral:rRNA from 1 species